rnacentral:lncRNA from 1 species
GGGCUCCCCCAGGCCCACAGUCCCUGUGGGUGUGUUGGGUGACAUCUCCCAGCUGCUUUUCCUGCACUUCCAUCACCAAGAACAGAGGGAUUUGCUCUGGGAUGUGAGCUCAGUUCGCUGUCCUCGCAGCCAGAAUGGAUUUUCUGUCCUCCUGGAGGAGGAUGCUGCUGGUGAGCCAGCCCAGCAGAGACACCCUGGACAGGAUUCACUCCUCUUUGGAGGAGAUGCAUCAGGAGGGAGCAGCAGAAGUGACUCCAAAACCACGGCCUGGGAACAAGCUGAAAUGUCUCCUGGAGGAAUGAAGACCAAUAUUCCCAGAGGAGGAGGAGGAGGAGCUGGAAGCCCCUUCUGUGCAAGAAGGAAAUGCAUCAUUUGUGAGCUUCACACCAAACUGGGAUUGCAAAGCUGCAGGUGGAUAUUUGGUUUACCACAAAAUCCACCCUGGCAACUGAAGGCAAUGCAUCCUGGCAGGUCUGAGCUGCUUUCUGAAAGGCCUGUUUUUCACAGUCACUUCUUCCCUGAGGUCAAAUGUGUGCUGAGCAGAGGAGAGCAGCACAGAGAAUGAUGGAAUCACAGAGG